rnacentral:rRNA from 1 species
GAUGAACGCUGGCGGCGUGCCUAAUACAUGCAAGUCGAGCGAACGGACGAGAAGCUUGCUUUUCUGAUGUUAGCGGCGGACGGGUGAGUAACACGUGGAUAACCUACCUAUAAGACUGGGAUAACUUCGGGAAACCGGAGCUAAUACCGGAUAAUAUUUUGAACCGCAUGGUUCAAAAGUGAAAGACGGUCUUGCUGUCACUUAUAGAUGGAUCCGCGCUGCAUUAGCUAGUUGGUAAGGUAACGGCUUACCAAGGCAACGAUGCAUAGACGACCUGAGAGAGUGAUCGGCCACACUGGAACUGAGACACGGUCCAGACUCCUACGAGAGGCAGCAGUAGGGAAUCUUCCGCAAUGGGCGAAAGCCUGACGGAGCAACGCCGCGUGAGUGAUGAAGGUCUUCGGAUCGUAAAACUCUGUUAUUAGGGAAGAACAUAUGUGUAAGUAACUGUGCACAUCUUGACGGUACCUAAUCAGAAAGCCACGGCUAACUACGUG